ensembl:lncRNA
UAAUAUACGUAAGAGUAGUGCAACCACAUUUUAGGUGCGGCUGGCGGGGCGGCUAGCUUGAUUGUGACUUCGUAAGUGAGGGCUCACUUGACCGCGAAAAAAAGACUCACACAGGCUCACCUCUACACGGCUGUCGUCUCCUGUAACCCUGCAUGGUUCUAAGGUUCUUGUUUCUGUUGUUCUUGUAGUUAUUGUCCUCAGAAAAACGACUCACACAGGAUCACCUCUGCAGUGCUGCCGUCUCCUGUAACGCUGCAUGGUUCUAAGCUACGUUUUCUUUCUUCUUUCUAUUGUUCUUGUAGUUUUUGUCCUCAGAUAAGGUUUGAAGUGUCUGUGUUGUGCAGCUGGUCUGGUCUGUCUCUAGACAGUCCAGGCUGCACCCACCAGUAAAUGGUGGAGGCUCACAAGGACAACACACAAGUUUCUGAACUCUGCGUGAGGGUUUC